UCCGUGCCAGCAGCCGCGGUAAUACGGAGGGUGCAAGCGUUAAUCGGAAUUACUGGGCGUAAAGCGCACGCAGGCGGUUUGUUAAGUCAGAUGUGAAAUCCCCGGGCUCAACCUGGGAACUGCAUCUGAUACUGGCAAGCUUGAGUCUCGUAGAGGGGGGUAGAAUUCCAGGUGUAGCGGUGAAAUGCGUAGAGAUCUGGAGGAAUACCGGUGGCGAAGGCGGCCCCCUGGACGAAGACUGACGCUCAGGUGCGAAAGCGUGGGGAGCAAACAGGAUUAGAAACCCCAGUAGUCCAAAGG
rnacentral:rRNA from 1 species